UGUAGGGGAACCUGCAGCCGGAUCACCUCCUUAGUACAUACUGUACUGAAAUCGGGGGUUGGAAUACGCACUGCAAUGGAGUUAAAGCUAGCCAGUAUCAGACGUAACGACGAAAGAGGAAGAUGCACUAUCCCACGCGAGUGAGAUAGGAAGGGCUAGCAGGGGACGACGGGCCUACGCGGGCAGCCCUGCGAUGUUGCCAUGCAUAGGGUUCGCGCAAGCAUCCGCCGGGGAUGUUAAUCAUCCGACACAACGACGCUGUAUGGUGAAUGGCUUGGCUUGGUAUGGCUAC
rnacentral:misc_RNA from 1 species